GCGGCGAUGGGACGACAGGACGGUGUUGGGGACGCCCUGCGGGGUGAGUCGGAGCGCGGCCACCACCGGGGCCGAGGACGCGGGAGCUGAGCGCCCCUGUAGAUGCUCUGGGACUUUCACAGUGUCUUUCAAGGAUACAGCGUUAAAGUGAGGGAGAAAGUAUUGAAUAUGUGAAAAGAACUCACCUUGACUACAUGGUUAGAAAGAAGACUUGCUGUGUACAAGCAAUUGAGGACAUAUAGCAGGUCAGACCUUUUCAUUUUUCUUUAGUAAGAAUUUUAUACACUGAGUGGAAUUUGCCCAGAUUUCAUUUACGUCAUGAAGGCUUACUUUGUAAGACUGUCAGGGCCAUGCAAAUGGAGGUCAACUUCAUUUCAUUACUUAAAAUUUUUAUAUUUUGUUCCUCGUGCAUAUUUUGGUAUUAAUUUUCAUUUUAAAAUAUUGCAUUAAAACAUCUUUUAUCUUGAUGACUUAGAUUUGGUGCCUUCUUACCAUUCGUGCUUAAGAGAAGUACUAGCUUAACGUUGCCCUAAUGCUAACCCAGGAAAUAGCUUUUGAAGUGGAGUAUUGUGCUGUUCCAGGGCUGAACAUCUAGGAAUGCUUUAAUUCUCAUCACUCUCUCCCUCAUAUAUAUAUUUCUAACCAUUGUCCUGGUCGCUACAAAAUUAGUUUGAUGUCUUUUUUUUUUAAGGAAAACAAACCCCUUUUGACUGCCUUCAUCUGAUUUUCUCAACUCACACCCCCUUGGCUAUGAAAGCUGUCAUUGGCUUUGGAUGCACUGAGGUAAAUGGAAAACAAAUGCAAAACGGACUAUGAUGAGAGUGACUAUGACUCUCCAGGGGAAAAAAUGACAGUGGGAGUUCCUGUCUUCUCUUAUAACCCUCCACCAACUCCAGUAUGGUUCCGGCUGAUUUAUUCCACCAAAUCAGCUCUCACUAAAGUCAGUUCCAUCUGUUUCCCGUGUAGUGGAUGACUUCAGUCUACAGAGCAGCUUACUGAAAAUCAACAUAACAUUAAUCAAGAUGAUGAUAAAUUUUCCUUGUAAUUACGUAUGUCAUGAUGUAGAGUAAAUAAACUGUUAAACAUGAAUAUGAGUUGUCAGUACAUCAAAUCUAUGUAAUCUCUUCAGAGGCAAAGAUGUUUCAAAAAGGGACAACCAUGCAGAGAGUAAACUGAUCUAGCUUCUACUCUAGGUCCCACCCUAUGUCUCUCCUCCAGUUCAGAUAGCAAAUAUCUCAAACCUGUUUUCUCUGUAUAUUGUCAUUAUCUUCUCUUAUUCAUCCUUUCACCCUCUCCACAGUGGUUUCUGGAGAUUAAUUCUCCCAAACGUGCUCUCACUGAGGUGGCCAAUGCCGUCUCUUUGCCCAGGUAGGGGGUAGUUUCUGUCUACAAUUUAAAUGAAUGCAUUGAGUCUUCUAAGCAGUUUCAGCCUUUUACACACGGUCUUCUUACCAUUCUCUCUCUCGUCCUGUUAACAUAUGGCCAUUCCACCUCGCUUUC